GUGCGACUGGACCCGUCCCGGCGCUGGGCCUGGGGGCACUGGGAAUGCCGCCUCCUCGGCGCCUCCUCUGGGGGCUUUGAGUUGUGUGUGGAGCACCCCCUCGGGGCAGGGGGCGCAGGCCCCAGCUCUGAGUGUUGGAUGUGGGUCACGGCACCAAUGGCGGUUCUAGGUCUGAUCGGCGCAGGGCUGGGCGCUUGGCACCUGUGGAGACGGAGAUGGGGCAGGAACCAACGGAAUCAAAACAAAUGAGAGAAAGAAACAGGUCCCAGGCACCCUGCUUUAUGAUGAAGUCCAGCACCCACUGGUGGCUCGAGCCCCAGCCCCUCCCCCCACACGGCACCACGGUCUAUGCCACUAUUGUCUGACCCCUACCCGCCCCGGCUCCGCUUCCCCCUCCUAUCCAUCCCCUUCAUGAGUUGCAUUCACACCCUGGCUCCCGUCCCAGGUGAUGGGAAAUUCAGCUGGAAGAUGCAAGAAAUUUCUGUUAGAAUCUUGGGGUGGGGAGUUCCGCAGGUUAACGGAUUGUGGCAUUAAAAUCUGC